rnacentral:rRNA from 1 species
GGUUAUACGUAAUUAUAUUUUAAUUUAAACUGAAUAAAUUAAUUUUCUUAUAUUAAAAAUGAAAUGAAAUUCCAAAAUAUAAUAAUAAGCAAAUUAAACUCAAAUACAGACAAAAACCAGGAUUAGAUACCCUGUUAUUCUAUAUUAAUAUAAUAUUUCAAUAUAAAAUUAAAUAAAUUUGACGGAAUUAAAUUUUACAAAGGAUUUUGUUUUGAUUAAUCGAAAACACACGCCCUACCUCACUUAAAACUUAUUUGUAUACCACCGUAUAUGAAAUUUCCUAAAAUAAAUUUCAAAAAAAACCCUUUUAAAAAAUCAGGUCAAGGUGCAAUAUUUUUAAGUCAAAAUGAAAUACAUUAAUUUAUUAUUUAAAUAACUUUUCUGAAAAGAAAAUAAAAUAGAAUUUGUAAGUAAACCAAAAUC